AACGUGCAUCCCUUUAGAGGGUU
rnacentral:miRNA from 1 species